GUAUCUCAUCUGCAUCUCAGUCUCAUCUCAUCUUAAACAGUGAACACCCAAUCCUCCUUCCACCUGCACGCAUCUCAGUCUCAUCUUCACACCUUAGAUUUCUAUUUCAUCUUGGCUCGCCCCUCUCACAUCGCCAACUGCAAUGUCCGCGACGAAACCGGAACCAGUGUUUGUGUUGUGAAUAUUGCAUAGUUGCAGCUAUUGAACAACAAUCCCACUCCUCUAAGGAAAAGCAACCUCACUCACACAUCUCUCUUCUCUGUCAUAAUGGGAAAACUCUAACCUCAAGAUCUGCAAAUUAAAUUGUUAGAGCAGACUAAUACAGUUGUUGCUCUCAUGGAUAUUGAUAAUUCUACAUCAGAAAAUGCUGUUUGUAGCUUUGAUGAAUCUGCAUUAGAUUCGAGUGAUGAUGAAUUAGUUGAGCUAUGCAUCAUUGAUAUGGUUUGUGAUUAUAAUAAGAAAUUUUUAAAUAAAACUAAGGUUCGAACAUCUAUAUUAACUGGUCGAGACUUUGUUACUGAGAUAUUAAAUGGAUCUGGAACAGUUUGUUUCGAGUUAUUUCGAAUGGAAAAAACAUGUUUUACUAAUUUUUGCAAUGAAUUGAGGGGAAAAAGUUACUUAAGUGACUCAAGGGAUGUGCUUGUGGAAGAAAAAGUUGCUAUGUUUUUAUUCAUAAUUGGGCAUAAUGUUCGCCAUAGAGUGGUUUCAGAUCGCUUUCAGCAUUCUACAGAAACAGUCUCUCGUUAUUUUAAGGAGGUAUUAAGAGUAGUAUGCCGAUUGGGAAAAGAGCUGAUAAAACAAGAGUCUAAAGAAUUGCCUGACAGAAUAAAAAAUAAUCCAAUAUAUUAUCCUUGGUUCAAGGUAUGUAACUUUAUUGCUUACGAUAUUUAUUCAUGUUUUCUUUUAUUUUUUUAUCUAAUUUUUAAUUGUUUUUAUUUGGAUUCUUGCGACUAUAAAAUUGUUUAGAUGCAAUUGAUGGCACACAUAUAAGUGCAUGGGUUCCCGCUAAGAAACAAACAUCAUGUAGAGGUAGAAAGACAAUUGUCACACAAAAUGUCAUGUGUAUCUGUGAUUUCAAUAUGUAUUUCACAUAUGUGUAUUCGGGGUGGGAAGGAAGUGCACACGAUGCAAAAGUUUUCGUUGAUUCAUUAACCAAUCCAAAUGCACAAUUUCCAUGGCCAUCUAGAGGUGAAUAUUAUAUUGUUGAAUUUGUCUUUUGUUAAUGAAGUAAAUAAUUUAUAUUCAAUGUUAAUGUGUACUCCAUUGAUGUAGGUAUGUUCUAUCUUGUGGAUUCCGGCUAUCCUUGCACAGGAGGUUUCCUUCCCCCUUUUAGAGGCGAAAUAUAUCACGCACAAGAAUACAAUGGUCGAGGUAGACAACCAAGAAGUCGUGAGGAGAUAUUCAAUUAUCGGCAUUCAUCUUUAAGAAUGACAAUUGAGCGAUGCUUUGGAGUCUUGAAGAACAGAUUUCCUAUUUUGAAGUUAAUGCCUCCAUAUAAACCUUCUAGGCAGCGACUCAUAGUGAUAGCGUGUUGUGCUAUUCAUAAUUACAUACGCAAGUGGAAUUUACGUGAUGAUUUGUUUAGAAUGUGGGAAGACAUGGAUCCUGCAGAAAUAGAGGUUAUGAAUGAGAUUUCUAACAUUGAGGAGGCAAGUUUCAAUGAUGAUAACUUAUCAAGAUUAUCUUAUGAAGGUGCAACUGAAAUGGCAGCAUACUGUAAUCAUAUAGCAAAUUGGAUGUGGGCACAACAUAACAACUCUUCAGUUUAGAUUAUCUGAUUUGAUUUGUUAAAUAAUAGGCUUUACUUUUGGAUAAUCAAUUUUCAAGUGACUAGAUGUUUGUAUGUGUUGAUUAUUAGUACAUUAAACCUUAUUUUAUGUUUGUAUA